rnacentral:rRNA from 1 species
AUUGAACGCUGGCGGCAUGCCUUACACAUGCAAGUCGAACGGCAGCACGGGUGCUUGCACCUGGUGGCGAGUGGCGAACGGGUGAGUAAUACAUCGGAACAUGUCCUGUAGUGGGGGAUAGCCCGGCGAAAGCCGGAUUAAUACCGCAUACGAUCUACGGAUGACAGCGGGGGGCCUUCGGGCUUCGCGCUGUUGGGGUGGCCGAUGGCGGAUUUGAUCGUUGGUGGGGUAAAGGCCUACAAAGGGGACGUUCAGUAGCUGGUGUGUGAGGGGGGCCACCGACACUGGGACUGGACCACGGCCCAUGCUCCUGCGGUAGGCAGCAGUGGGGAAUUUUGGACAGUGGGCGAAAGCCUUAUCCAGCAAUGCCGAGUGUGUGAAGGAGGCCUUCGGUGUGUAAAGCAGUUUUGUCCGGAAAGAAAUCCUUGGCCCUAAUACGGUCGGGGGAUGACGGUACCGGAAGAAUAAGCACCGGCUAACUACGUG